rnacentral:rRNA from 1 species
UACGUAGGGUGCAAGCGUUGUCCGGAAUUAUUGGGCGUAAAGAGCUUGUAGGCGGUUUGUCGCGUCUGCUGUGAAAUUUCGGGGCUCAACCCCGAACUUGCAGUGGGUACGGGCAGACUAGAGUGUGGUAGGGGAGACUGGAAUUCCUGGUGUAGCGGUGAAAUGCGCAGAUAUCAGGAGGAACACCAGGGGCGAAGGCGGAUCGCUGGGCCAACACUGACGCUGAGACGCGAAAGCUAGGGGAGCAAACGGG